GACGAACGCUGGCGGCGUGCUUAACACAUGCAAGUCGAACGGAAAGGCCCUGCUUUUGUGGGGUGCUCGAGUGGCGAACGGGUGAGUAACACGUGAGUAACCUGCCCUUGACUUUGGGAUAACUUCAGGAAACUGGGGCUAAUACCGGAUAGGAGCUCCUGCUGCAUGGUGGGGGUUGGAAAGUUUCGGCGGUUGGGGAUGGACUCGCGGCUUAUCAGCUUGUUGGUGGGGUAGUGGCUUACCAAGGCUUUGACGGGUAGCCGGCCUGAGAGGGUGACCGGCCACAUUGGGACUGAGAUACGGCCCAGACUCCUACGGGAGGCAGCAGUGGGGAAUAUUGCACAAUGGGCGGGAGCCUGAUGCAGCAACGCCGGGUGCGGGAUGACGGCCUUCGGGUUGUAAACCGCUUUCGCCUGUGACGAAGCGUGAGUGACGGUAAUGGGUAAAGAAGCACCGGCUAACUACGUG
rnacentral:rRNA from 1 species